rnacentral:lncRNA from 1 species
GUUUAUUUUUGAUCUAUGAGUGUGAUUGUCCAGUUGGUAUCUUUCUCUCCUAUUUUACCAGCGAGAAUCUAUAAGAGAUUCUGUGGACAAAUCUUCUUUCUCCCGAAAUUAAAGAAUGAAUUUGAGGAACUGUCUUGUCAAGUUACUGAUAUUGAUACGUCCUCGUCGUUGUAAUCAUGCAAUCAAGUGGUGUCUGAUGCAUGCAUGUUGUCUGAAGC